GCGGAAACCUUCUUCGCCUUCUUCUUGGAGAUACCAGUCUUAGAGUUCAACUUUUUCUUGAAACUCUUCUUUGCCUUUUUCUUGCUGAUCUUAUCAACAUGAAGAACCUGAGUCUUUUCAUCCUUGAAAUGACUCUUUGCUGUUUUCAGCAUGUUCAGCAGUUCUGACAAACUGAUGUUUAGUUUGUUCAUGUGAUAAUUAAUGACAAACUGAGAAAAGAAGUUAGAGAGAGACUGCAGGAUCAAAUCCUGGCUCAGUUCACCAUCCAUGGCAAAAUCCAGUUGUCCCAAAUGAGUGAUCAAAUCAAUCAUUUUUAGGAUAUGCGUUUGCACGGAAGAACCUUCAGGCAUACGGGUACAGAACAAUUGCUUCGAUAUCUCAUAUCGAGCAGUUCGACUUUGUUCUCUUUAUAGCUCCUUAAGAUUAAGGAGAAUAGAGGGAACGUCCAUGUCCUCAUGCUACCUCUGGAGCUCGUUGCUCAUGGAGGCAAGCAUGAUACAUUUGACAAUCACACUGUCAUCUUUCCACGUCUUAUAUGUGGCCUUUUUCUCCUCGGAAGCAUCUUUCCCAAGAGAAUCUGAAGCAGGUGUAUUCAGAAUGUAGGAGAUCUUUUUCUGAGUGAGAAUAAUUCUCAAGUUCCUCAACC
rnacentral:lncRNA from 1 species